GACGAACGCUGGCGGCGUGCUUAACACAUGCAAGUCGAACGGAAAGGCCCUGCUUUUGUGGGGUGCUCGAGUGGCGAACGGGUGAGUAACACGUGAGUAACCUGCCCUUGACUUUGGGAUAACUUCAGGAAACUGGGGCUAAUACCGGAUAGGAGCUCCUGCUGCAUGGUGGGGGUUGGAAAGUUUCGGCGGUUGGGGAUGGACUCGCGGCUUAUCAGCUUGUUGGUGGGGUAGUGGCUUACCAAGGCUUUGACGGGUAGCCGGCAUGAGAGGGUGACCGGCCACAUUGGGACUGCGGUACGGCGCAGACUCCUACGGGAGGCAGUAGUGGGGAAUAUUGCACAAUGGGCGGACGCCUGAUGCAGCAGCGCCGCGUGCGGGAUGACGGCCUUCGGGGUGUAAACCGCUUUCGCCUGUGACGAAGCGUGAGUGACGGUAAUGGGUAAAGAAGCACCGGCUAACUACGUG
rnacentral:rRNA from 1 species